UACGUAGGGGGCUAGCGUUGUCCGGAAUCAUUGGGCGUAAAGAGCGUGUAGGCGGCCCGGUAAGUCCGCUGUAAAAGUCAAAGGCUCAACCUUUGAAUGUCAGUGGAUACUGCCGGGCUAGAGUCCGGAAGAGGCGAGUGGAACUCCUGGUGUAGCGGUGGAAUGCGCAGAUAUCAGGAGGAACACCAAUAGCGAAGGCAGCUCGCUGGGACGGUACUGACGCUAAGGCGCGAAAGCGUGGGGAGCGAACGAGG
rnacentral:rRNA from 1 species